UACGUAGGCAGCAAGCGUUGUUCGGAAUUACUGGGCGUAAAGAGUGUGUAGGCGGUGCUCUAAGUUCGGUGUGAAAUCCUCCCGCUUAACUGGGAGGGUGCGCCGGAAACUGGAGUGCUCGAGCGUGGGAGAGGAAAGCGGAAUUCCUGGUGUAGCGGUGAAAUGCGUAGAUAUCAGGAGGAACACCUGCGGUGUAGACGGCUUUCUGGACCAUUGCUGACGCUGAGACACGAAAGCGUGGGUAGCAAACAGG
rnacentral:rRNA from 1 species